rnacentral:rRNA from 1 species
ACGCUCGACACCUACGGGAGCAGCAGUAGGGAAUCUUCCACAAUGGGCGCAAGCCUGAUGGAGCAACACCGCGUGAGUGAAGAAGGGUUUCGGCUCGUAAAGCUCUGUUGUUGGAGAAGAACGUGCGUGAGAGUAACUGUUCACGCAGUGACGGUAUCCAACCAGAAAGUCACGGCUAACUACGUGCCAGCAGCCGCGGUAAUCUGAGCGGGCUGGCAAGGC